rnacentral:tRNA from 1 species
UGGCUCAGUGGUUAAGAGCACUGACUGCUCUUGCAGAGGACCUGGGUUCAAAUCCCAG